rnacentral:rRNA from 1 species
GUGGGGAAUAUUGGACAAUGGGCGAAAGCCUGAUCCAGCAAUUCCGCGUGGGUGAAGAAGGUCUUCGGAUUGUAAAGCCCUUUCGUUGGGGACGAUGAUGACGGUACCCAAAGAAGAAGCCCCGGCUAACUUCGUGCCAGCAGCCGCGGUAAUACGAAGGGGGCUAGCGUUGCUCGGAAUGACUGGGCGUAAAGGGCGCGUAGGCGGCGCGAUCAGUCAGGCGUGAAAUUCCCGGGCUUAACCUGGGGGCUGCGCUUGAGACGGUUGUGCUAGAGGAUGGAAGAGGCUCGUGGAAUUCCCAGUGUAGAGGUGAAAUUCGUAGAUAUUGGGAAGAACACCGGUGGCGAAGGCGGCGAGCUGGUCCAUUUCUGACGCUGAGGCGCGAAAGCGUGGGGAGCAAACAGGAUUAGAAACCCGGGUAGUCC